rnacentral:rRNA from 1 species
UGGGGAAUAUUGGACAAUGGGCGCAAGCCUGAUCCAGCCAUGCCGCGUGAGUGAUGAAGGCCCUAGGGUUGUAAAGCUCUUUCACCGGUGAAGAUAAUGACGGUAACCGGAGAAGAAGCCCCGGCUAACUUCGUGCCAGCAGCCGCGGUAAUACGAAGGGGGCUAGCGUUGUUCGGAUUUACUGGGCGUAAAGCGCACGUAGGCGGACUAUUAAGUCAGGGGUGAAAUCCCGGGGCUCAACCCCGGAACUGCCUUUGAUACUGGUAGUCUUGAGUUCGAGGGAUGUGAGUGGAAUUCCGAGUGUAGAGGUGAAAUUCGUAGAUAUUCGGAGGAACACCAGUGGCGAAGGCGGCUCACUGGCUCGAUACUGACGCUGAGGUGCGAAAGCGUGGGGAGCAAACAGG